GGUCGGUAUUAAACACUAUGUUUAACACCUAUCAAGCACACAUUUAUUCCCUUAUUUCGACAUGGAUUUGCUUAACUGCGUACCUGCAGGACCCAACAAAUCUUAAGAGGAAAGCAACUAUAAUCCUAAAAAUGCCAUCUUUGUGUCGUCAUGCCUCCAUAAUGUUAAAACCCAGCUGAGAUUUUUGUUCAGGCUGUUGAUGAGAUUUUGGACAAAAUGCUGAAGAAUUCUUGUGUCCCGUCUUCUUGAUAACAGUCAUCACUUGAAACCAACUUGCGUAAUAUUUCUAAACCAGUGUUGGUAUUAGUUUGAAUGUUAUGUCAACACGGAUGCUUUUCUGAUUCGUGACCUGACGUCUUUUUCUUUGUCCAAUCUUUUUCUCUGGAGAAGCUUUCCCUUCUGUUCGUCAUUUUAGACUUCAUUGUGCUAUAAUUCUGCAAAUAGAUGCUGUCUUUUUGAGCAACUUGGUAUCCAUGGUUACCUGAAAAUGAUGAAUAUUCAGAGAAGAAAAACAAAGGAAUGCUCCCCGUUUUCAUCUACAGUAAAACUGUCCACAGCUUUUUUAACUUUUGCGAAAUGUUCUCUUUUGAACAUGUCUGCGAAAGAGUACUUCGUUUCUGGUAAAUGAAACUUCUGGAAUUUCUAUGUAUAAGCCACCAAGUCGCCACAUGUCGGCCAUGACCGACUUCUUUAUUUCACUUGUGGAGAAAACGGUGAAGAACAUGCCGAAUUAUGCCGGCCUAAAUGUUUGAUAAGAUACAUUGUGUUUCUUUACUGAAAACUGCUGUAAGUAGCAUAAUGUCAUACAAUUAUAUUGGGUAUACCACGGUGAUAGAUAAUUUAUUGGUCCAUCAUUGAUCACGUGUCAUGCCACAAAAACGCAUACUACAUGUAUUAGUGUUAGAUGAACUGAACGUCCUACUGCCCAUGGUUAGACACAUCUUGUUUCCUUACUGCGACAUGAGUAACGUACUGUCAUACAAUUAUAUCAGUUAUCGUUAGGAGACAACUUUUGUUUUUGAAAAUAUGAAACACGUACGUGCCCCGGUGCAUAAUAUGUGAAAGCUAGAAAAUUAACCAUAGUGUUAAAUGAACUAAAUGCCCUACUGCCCAUGGUUUAUUAUAGACACAUUUUGUUUCCUUACUGCGAUAUUAGUAACAUACUAUCAUACAAUUAUAUCAGUUAUCGUUUAGGGAACAACUUUUGUUUUUGAAAACAUGAAACACGUAGGUGCCCCGGUACAUAAUAUGUGAAAGCUAGAAAAUUAAUCAUACUAUUAUUGUAGUGUACACAAGAUGAACUAAACGUACUACUGCCCAUUGUGAGAUAUAUCUUGUUUCCAUACUGCGAAAUGAGGAACGUUCUGUCAUACAAUUAUAUCAGUUAUCGUUAGGGGACAACUUUUGUUUUUGAAAAAAUGAAACAUGUAGGGGCCCAGGUGCAUAAUAUGUAAAAGAUAGAAAAUUAAUCAUACAUUUAUUGUAUUGUAAGAUGAACUAAACGCCCUACUGCCCAUGGUGAGAUACAUCUUGUUGCCAUACUGCGAAAUGAGUAACAUACUGUCAUACAAUUAUAUCAGUUAUCGUUAAAGGUAAUAUACAACAUUUGCAAACAUCAA
rnacentral:lncRNA from 1 species